rnacentral:rRNA from 1 species
AGUGAACGCUGGCGGCAGGCCUAACACAUGCAAGUCGAGCGGCAGCGCGUCCGACCACCCUCGGGUGGUCGGAUGGCGGCGAGCGGCGGACGGGUGGGGAAUGCAUCGGAAUCUGCCUCGUUGUGGGGGAUAACGUAGGGAAACUUACGCUAAUACCGCAUACGACCUACGGGUGAAAGUGGGGGACCUUCGGGCCUCACGCGAUGAGAUGAGCCGAUGCCGGAUUAGCUAGUUGGCGGGGUAAAGGCCCACCAAGGCGACGAUCCGUAGCUGGUCUGAGAGGAUGAUCAGCCACACUGGAACUGAGACACGGUCCAGACUCCUACGGGAGGCAGCAGUGGGGAAUAUUGGACAAUGGGGGCAACCCUGAUCCAGCCAUGCCGCGUGUGUGAAGAAGGCC